rnacentral:lncRNA from 1 species
GACAAUCCCUUGAUGUUUUGCACUUUAGCUAGCAGCUCAUUAGAAGAGACAACUGGUAGCACUUUCAAUUAGGUGUGCUUAGCUCCUACAUAUGCACUGAAUUCACGUGGAAAGAUCUAUUGCUGCGUGGUAAUUAUAGGGAAGAGUGAGAUGGCACAUUCCAGGUUCUAUAAAUACAGCUGGGUACUCUCAGGGGGAACUGGAAGGACUUGACCAAGUUCCUCCCAAUGACAUGUUCGUUGCUCCUCUUAAAAUUUAAACCUUCCUUUUAUCAUUAUCUUCUUAUCAGAGCAAAAAUGGAAAGUCAAGAUAAGUACAAAAUCACUAUAUUUAUUUUGAAGUAGUAAUUUAUACCACAUUAAAAUUUAAAUAUAUUUGAAACACUA